GAUGAAGAACGCAGCGAAAUGCGAUACGUAAUGUGAAUUGCAGAAUUCAGUGAAUCAUCGAAUCUUUGAACGCACAUUGCGCCCGCCAGCACUCUGGCGGGCAUGCCUGUUCGAGCGUCAUUUCAACCAUCAAGCCCCAGGCUUGCGUUGGAGCCCUGCGGCUGCCGCAGCCUCCUAAAAGCAGUGGCGGGCUCGCUAGUCACUCCGAGCGUAGUAAUACAUCUCGCUCAGGGCGUGCUGCGGGUUCCGGCCGUUAAAAAGCCUUAUUUACCCAAGGUUGACCUCGGAUCAGGUAGGAAGACCCGCUGAACUUAAGCAUAUCAAUAAGCGGAGGA
rnacentral:misc_RNA from 1 species